rnacentral:rRNA from 1 species
UGGGGAAUAUUGCACAAUGGGGGAAGACCCUGAUGCAGCGACGCCGCGUGAGCGAAGAAGUAUUUCGGUAUGUAAAGCUCUAUCAGCAGGGAAGAUAAUGACGGUACCUGACUAAGAAGCCCCGCUAACUACGUGCCAGCAGCCGCGGUAAUACGUAGGGGGCGAAGCGUUAUCCGGAUUCAUUGGGUUUAAAGGGUGCGUAGGCGGCGUCUUAAGCCGGCGGUGAAAUCGCGGGGCUCAACUUCGGGACUGCAUUGGAAACUGUUGAGCUGGAGUGCAGGAGAGGUAAGCGGAAUUCCUAGUGUAGCGGUGAAAUGCGUAGAUAUUAGGAGGAACACCAGUGGCGAAGGCGGCUUACUGGACUGUAACUGACGUUGAGGCUCGAAAGCGUGGGGAGCAAAUAGGAUUAGAUACC